UACGUAGGGCGCAAGCGUUGUCCGGAAUUAUUGGGCGUAAAGAGCUCGUAGGCGGUUUGUCACGUCGGGUGUGGAAGCCCGGGGCUUAACCCCGGGUCUGCAUUCGAUACGGGCAGACUGGAGUGUGGUAGGGGAGAUCGGAAUUCCUGGUGUAGCGGUGAAAUGCGCAGAUAUCAGGAGGAACACCGGUGGCGAAGGCGGAUCUCUGGGCCAUUACUGACGCUGAGGAGCGAAAGCGUGGGGAGCGAACAGG
rnacentral:rRNA from 1 species